UACGAAGGGGGCUAGCGUUGUUCGGAAUUACUGGGCGUAAAGCGCGUGUAGGCGGGUCUUUAAGUCAGGGGUGAAAUGCCAAGGCUCAACCUUGGAACUGCCUUUGAUACUGGAGAUCUUGAGUCCGGGAGAGGUGAGUGGAACUGCGAGUGUAGAGGUGAAAUUCGUAGAUAUUCGCAAGAACACCAGUGGCGAAGGCGGCUCACUGGCCCGGUACUGACGCUGAGGCACGAAAGCGUGGGGAGCAAACAGG
rnacentral:rRNA from 1 species